rnacentral:rRNA from 1 species
CCUACGGGUGGCAGCAGUGGGGAAUAUUGCACAAUGGGGGAAACCCUGAUGCAGCGACGCCGCGUGAAGGAAGAAGGAUUUCGGUAUGUAAACUUCUAUCAGCAGGGAAGAAAGUGACGGUACCUGUCUAAUAAGCAACGGCUAACUACGAGCCAGCAGCCGCGGUAAUACGUAGGGUGCAAGCGUUAUCCGGAUUUACUGGGGGUAAAGGGAGCGUAGGCGGUUGAGCGAGUCAGAAGUGAAGGCCCGGGGCUCAACCCCGGGACUGCUUUUGAUACUGUUGAACUAGAUUGCAGGAGAGGUAAGUGGAAUUCCUAGUGUAGCGGUGAAAUGCGUAGAUAUUAGGAGGAACACCAGUGGCGAAGGCGGCUUACUGGACUGUAAAUGACGCUGAGGCUCGAAAGCGUGGGGAGCAAACAGGAUUAGAUACCCCAGUAGUC